CCUAUAUAACUACCUAACUUAUUUUUUUUUUUCCUUCAAGUGAUGCUCCAUUUUUUCCAUAUAGAAAAGUGGUUCCCAAACCAGUUCUUAUGUCCCACCAGCAGUCCAAGAUUUAUGUAUUUCCCUGUUUUAUUAGAAUGGAGGUACUGACAAAAUCUAGACACUGAAAUAGAAGAUUUAACAACUGACAUUACAAACUAGAUCAAUCCUGGCACAGCCAAG